rnacentral:rRNA from 1 species
GGAUGAACGCUGGCGGCGUGCCUAAUCCAUGCAAGUCGAGCGAACAGACGAGGAGCUUGCUCCUCUGACGUUAGCGGCGGACGGGUGAGUAACACGUGGAUAACCUACCUAUAAGACUGGGAUAACUUCGGGAAACCGGAGCUAAUACCGGAUAAUAUAUUGAACCGCAUGGUUCAAUAGUGAAAGACGGUUUUGCUGUCACUUAUAGAUGGAUCCGCGCCGCAUUAGCUAGUUGGUAAGGUAACGGCUUACCAAGGCAACGAUGCGUAGCCGACCUGAGAGGGUGAUCGGCCACACUGGAACUGAGACACGGUCCAGACUCCUAAGGGAGGCAGCAGUAGGGAAUCUUCCGCAAUGGGCGAAAGCUUGACGGAGCAACGCCGCGUGAGUGAUGAAGGUCUUCGGAUCGUAAAACUCCGUUAUUAGGGAAGAACAAAUGUGUAAGUAACUAUGCACGUCUUGACGGUACCUAAUCAGAAAGCCACGGCUAACUACGUG